CUGCCCUUUUUCUCCAGACACAAGCGGAGAACCCCCUGAAGGCAAGUGAUUAGGAAAUAAUUGUUCCUUUGGUACCAAGCUACAACGGGUAAAUAUUAAAUUAUGAUGUGCCAAAAAUGAAAGAAAUGAGUUGCUGUGCAUUGAUGAGGAAAGGAAGGAAGGGGAAUACAAGAGUCUGGGCAUUGUGUUGAUAUUACUGAUUAAUCUGAGAAAUAAAUUGCAUAUUAAUCAAAUAAUAAAUGAUGUUGGGAAUCUACAGUAGUAAUCAGGCUGUGACUAAGAAACAUCACACAAUGAAGGAGCUACUUAGGAAGUUCCUGUAUUUAAUUCAGCAGUGCUACACACUAUAUUAACUAGUACUCCCUUAUUAAACUUAGUUACAGAUGUCAACAAUGACUAUUGGCAGCUUUUCGUGCCUCAAAACAUUAGAGAUUUGAAGAAGUGGUGUUAGCACUGCAAGAGCCACAAAGGAGUCGUGUAUUUAAGAAUGAAAUCUUCCCUGCACUUUAUGCUAUGACACCAAGUGCCUAAACGCAUUUUAUGCUUAAGAUACCAAACCCACAAAUGACAGAUUAUUUGGUUUGAUUUUCUUUUUCACAGUUUUAAAGAAAGAAUUAAGAUAUAUCAGCUAUCAAGUGGGAUAUAAAAAUGUGUAAUAAUCAUCUUAUUACUACUAGCUGAGCUUCUCUGUAGAUUAAUUUCCCCCUCUUGUGAACAAUGAAAUUCCUGAGAAGAGGAUUUGUUGCAAAAAAUGUCAAUGCAGAAAAACAUUUUUCCCUGUAUACUGCCAUUUAUGUUACUUAACAUAAGUUUGAAGAGCCAUGCUGCAGAAAAAAGGUAUUAACAUCUACAGAGAAAUUGUUUACUUUUGAAAUGAAAUAUUAUUAAAUAUUUCACAGCCCAGAAACACCGAUGAUGAUUUAAUAAUGAUUUCCAUUAUUAUAAUAUAUAAAAUAUAAAAAUAAAUACUAUUUUAAUAAUGAUUUAUACUGUGGCAGGCUAGAAACAGAUCAUUACAUCAUUCACCUGGUGUAACAACAAAAGUUGUUACACCAGAUGAAGUGAGUUAAAGACUUGCUAAGUAAAGACUGGAGCACUCAGAUGUGCCUGUUUUCAGAUGUGCCUGUUUUCUACACAGUAGGAAGUGUCAUUUGGGACAAUAGUUUUUCCAUUCAAAUAUCAUCAUUUGAAAUAAGGUAUUUCCAGCAAUUUCUUGGGUAACCUCUUACAACCAGCUACACACCACACAUAUGAAAAUGUGUCCAUUCCCCCUCUUUCCUCUGAGCUUUGUUUCCCUAUACUUUCAGAUUACAUACUUUAAUUAUUAUUUCUCAUUGUUUGUAACAUCUAGGUAUUUAGAGAUGCCACACACUUUCCGUGCUAUCAAUUCUACUAAGUUAUAAAUUUCUGUUCUUACUUAGCAGAAAAAAAUAAAAAUGAAGGGUCCAGAUGAGGACCACGAGGUGGAUCACAGGGCUGGAGCACCUCUCCUGUGGAGACAGACUGAGAGUUGGGUUGCUCACUCUGUAGAGAGAGCUCCACGGAGAUCCUACAACACCUUCCAGUACCUAAAGGUCUGAGUUCCAGACUCUCGAACUCCUGGUCCUUUAAGUAGCUAUUCUGGAAUGAAAUGAGAUUCUUUACAGGAUGACAUUUAGAUCUUGCAAUGGGAAGUUUUUCCUAUUAGCCUGAUUUAUAUGACUUCCAGUGGAUAAAUACAUUUUUACACAAAAUCAAGGAAACUAGUAAUGUGAAUAUUUAUUAAGAAGAAAUGUGAGCUAUUUUCCUUUCUGUCAUAACACCGAUGAAAUAUUA